CCUACGGGAGGCAGCAGUGAGGAAUAUUGGUCAAUGGGCGAGAGCCUGAACCAGCCAAGUCGCGUGAGGGAGUACUGCCCUAUGGGUUGUAAACCUCUUUUGUCGGGGAGCAAAAGCCGGACGUGUCCGGCUGUGAGAGUACCCGACGAAAAAGCAUCGGCUAACUCCGUGCCAGCAGCCGCGGUAAUACGGAGGAUGCGAGCGUUAUCCGGAUUUAUUGGGUUUAAAGGGUGCGCAGGCGGAUUUUUAAGUCAGCGGUAAAAUCGUGGGGCUCAACCCCAUCCAGCCGUUGAAACUGGGGAUCUAGAGUGUGCGAGAGGUAUGCGGAAUGCGUGGUGUAGCGGUGAAAUGCAUAGAUAUCACGCAGAACCCCGAUUGCGAAGGCAGCAUACCGGUGCACAACUGACGCUCAGGCACGAAAGCGUGGGUAUCGAACAGGAUUAGAUACCCCUGUAGUC
rnacentral:rRNA from 1 species